AGCCACGCUUGGACGGAGCCCUCGGCGCUCCUCUCCCCGCGCCCUCGCAGCUCUCCUCCUCCUCCUGGGGCACGGUCGGAGCGGUGCCUGCGGGAUUUCCGAGCUCCCUUUGCAGCUCUGCCCGUGCGGGGCUCCGGGCUCGGCGCUGCCGCUGUCCCCGCCGAGCUCCGGGGGGGCCCCGCUCUCCCCAGCCGUGCGCCCCGUCGGGCGGCGGGGACGCGCUCCCGGCGCCGCUUUCCCUGCCCUCCUCCUGCUUUUUUUUGCUCUCCUUUUUGCCCCUUUUCCUCUCCCCCCCGUGGGGGCCAGCCCCGUGGGGGAGCAAGGGAGAAAUCUCGUUUGGAUCCGGCGCUCACGGAGGGGGGCCCCUGGCGCACCUCGCGCCCGGCAUCCGCGCUCCUCGGGUGCCCGCAGCGCGCUCGCCCCGGGGCGCGGGGGCUGCCGAGCAUCUGCCGGGAGCCGCAGCGAGGGGCUGCGGGGCCCUGGGGGGCUCCGUGGGCACCGGGGGCUCCGGGCAGGGCCGCGGCCCCGGGAGGAAGAGGAGGAGGAGGAGGAGGAGGAGGGAAAGGGGAGCAGCGGGCGCGCCCCGGGGCCGUGCGCGGCCGGGGCUGCGGGGCGCGGAGCGGUCCCGGCCGUGCCCGUGGGGGUCGGGGAAGGGGGCGAGGGGGCUGUGGGGGUCCGGGCCGCCCUCCCCAGCCCCGUUCCUCCGCCGCUCGACCCGCGGCCGUCGGGCGGGCGGGCUGCGGCCGGGCCGCGGCUCUGCGAAACGUCUCCAACGCCUGGCAGGCGAGGGAUGUGCCGGGGCUCCGCUGGUUGCCAUAUGUUUUCAAUAAAAUAAGACAAAUAGGGCCGGGAGAUAGGGCUUGCAGUAAACCUGUUAUAAAGGAGCAUAAAAUAGGCCAAUGUAAACGCCAGAAGGGCCCCUCCGGGAAGGGCCGUUUGGUGCCAGCCCCGCGCCGCAGCGGCUCAGACAGGUGUGAGCAGGAGCCCGACGCGGUGCCCCCGGAGAUUUUUAUCACGUUUGUGGUAAUAUUGUGCUUGUUAUGCUAA
rnacentral:lncRNA from 1 species